GUUUAUGCUGUUAAAAUGGGGGUGAGGAUCAGCCCACUGAGGCUGCUGUUCAUCACUGUGCUGUGAACUCCAGCUCUGUAGCUCCUGCAUGGCAAGAGAAUUGUGGCUGAACUUGGCCUUCACUGACCAGAGGAACCAGAAACUGCUGUUCCUGCCAAAUCACUGAAUCAUUUAAGUUGGUAACAACCUCUAAUAUUUGAGUCCAACCUUUGGCUGAUCACCGCCUUGUCAACCAGACCAUGGCACCAAGGACAAAAUGACAUGGCAGUGCCAGCAGGGCCUGAAAGGAGGAUGAUUUUUAGGAAACCUGGGGUUGAUGGCAUUUGGCUGAACUCUGCAGGCUCUGCAGACAUUGUGCAGAAGUAACGGGACUACUGCUGGCUUGGUGUGGGCAACCAAGGGCUGGUCUGUGCAGCCCUGCCUGCCUGAAUGGCCUCUGCCAUGGCCUGAAGGGAAAGGCUGAGAGCUGCCUGUCCUGUGCUGCUUGACUUGGAUGCUGCUGUCCUCUUGCUUCAGCUGAUGGAAAGCGCUUGAGGCAGAUCUGCCUUGGCUGUGGCUGAAUCACACAACUUUUCUGAGCUAAUCUGCUGGUACACUUAUGGCUUCAGAGAGCCUGGUGCAGGUUCCUCAUCCAGCCAACAACCACAACCCAUGGCACACUGGAUGGCUUCAAGAUACCUUGAAUGUGGGAAAAUGGACGAGUGAGCGAAAUGAUGGAGAGGUGGCUGAAAUACCAAACACAGCUGUGAGAAUGAAAUGAAAUCCAUCUGACACAAGAAGAUGUACCACCUCUGAUCACUUCCUUCUUCCCUUCCUUUGUUGGACCAUCAUCCAGCUGAUGCACCUGCAGCAGAGUGAGCAGGAAAGGAAGUGAAUUUGCACGCCAGGACAGCCUUGGAACUGGGACAGGACAAGGAGCUUUUUGCCCUUAACACUCCUGACUUUGCUGCUGUGGUUCCAGCUUUUCCCCAGGGAAGGAAGGGUCCUGGUGACCUGGCAGGGGACAUGGAGCUGCUGGCUGUCACAGCCCCAGAGGAAGCAGGGAAGGAUGCAACAGCAUCACAACCCGAGGUGGAAGGAGCAGAAGAAGCAGCUGCAAUGCCAGAGGCAGAGAGCCUAGAAGGGAAGGUUAUCACUUCUGAAGGAGCAGCAGCACCUGUGGUGGGAGCAUCAGAAAACCCAGCAGCAGAAAGAGUGGCUGAAGCGUUUGCCAGGGCAGCAGAGAGAAUUGCAGGAGCAGAAGUAGCCAAGGUGCUGCAGUCAGCAAUAGCUGAGCUCAAAGGAAAGAGGAAGGACGUGUGGAUAAAGCCAAGGAACGCCACUCAGCAGGAAGAGGAUUGGAUGAAAGAGGGAGAGGUGAAAUGAAAUGGAGAGGUGAUGUUCUGGGUCAUACCUCCUAAUGGCUUGUACCAUCACUCCUGGAAUGCAAUAGGGCUGCCAAUCACAUCUCUUUUGUGACU